UCUGCAGGUUCACAUCAGCCAUA
rnacentral:miRNA from 1 species